rnacentral:tRNA from 1 species
GUGGUAAUUCAGUGGUGGCAUUUUCUCCUUUCAUGUGAGAGGCCUGGGUUCAACUCCCAGCCAACACA